rnacentral:misc_RNA from 1 species
CAUGAACCCAGGAAAGCUCAUUCCACCCCAUGUUUGCUUCUAAGGGCGUUUUUGGUGUACUUGGAGGGGAGGAUUCCUCAUUGGCAUGCGCUUUCUAUGCAAGUACUGUUGUAGGGGUACAAAGGUAUGUUCCCUUGCCAUUUAUACCAUUUAGAAUAGUUGGCCAGACUUGCAGAAUUUAUAUACAUGAGGUUGAAAUAGGCCAUAUACCGGUCAAUGUGUCGUCAAAUGGUACAAUUUUCUUUGUGUUGAGAGUUGAGACACCGAAACAAUAAAUUGGUUCUUGCUUGUGUAUGUUUUCUUUCACAUCGAAUAUGGAUGUGAUUUGUCCACCUAAAAAAUACUCAGACUGUAUAAUUUGGAAAUCCUACAUUUUUGCUGCUAAUAGAUGAAGAUGAAAUAAAUAAUAUGAAUUUCAUUGGAAAUUGUGUUGCUUAAUAUAUUCUUUUCAUUGGACAUCGGAUGUGUUUAUUUUUAUUUUUGACAUUUACUUAUUGGUACUUCCAUGAGAACUCUGCAAAUUGGACUAUGUAGGCUCUUGAUGG